rnacentral:lncRNA from 1 species
GGCUGUAAUGAGCCGUGAUUACACCACUGGACUCCAGCCUGGGUGACAAAGUGAGAUCCUGUCUCCACAAAAAAAAAAAAAAAAAAAAAAAAAAAAAAAAAGAAAGAAAGAAAAGAAAUAUCUUUUUUUUUUUUUUUUUUUGAGACAGAGGAGACGGAGUCUCGCUCUGUCGGCGGGAUCUCGGCUCACUGCAAGCUCCGCCUCCCGGGUUCACGCCAUUCUCCUGCCUCAGCCUCCCGAGUAGCUGGGACUACAGGCGCCCGCCACGACGCCCGGCUAAUUUUUUGUAUUUUUAGUAGAGGCGGGGUUUCACUGUGUUAGCCAGGAUGGUCUCGAUCUCCUGACCUCAUGAUCCGCCCGCCUCUGCCUCCCAAAGUGCUGGGAUUACAGGCGUGAGCCACCGCGCCCGGCCGAAAAGAAAUAUCUUUAAGGCUGUUCACACAGGCCAAAAAGGGCCUAACUGCACUACACUUUUGCAUGAAAAUGUGUAAACCGAAUUUGAUCCCCUACUUUAAAUAAGGCUCUAAAAGAUUUUUUGCUAUUUACAGAAAUCAAACUGACUCUCAAAAGUACAAGGAUUUUCCUACACUGAAGAAAUUUCAAAGAUUCUGCCACAAGCUUCUAAAUCAACUCCAAAUAAAUGUUAAAUUGGUUUGAGCAAUAGGGCAGCAUUACGGAGUGAAUGUGUCAGUUCCCAUGAGGACCACUUUGAUAAGGCUAACACUUAUGUACUGCUGUUUAAUUUUAAUAUUUUAAAUAAAUCUUAAGAGUACCCUUGGCUGGGCGCGGUGGUUCACGCCUGUAAUCCCAGCACUUUGGGAGGCCAAGGCGGGUGGAUCAUGAGGUCAGGAGAUCGAGACCAUCCUGGCUAACAUGGGGAAACCCCGUCUCU